AAGGGUAUAGUUCAAGUGGUAGGGCACAUGCUUAGCAUGCAUAAGGUCCUGGGUUCAAUUCCCAGUACCUCCA
rnacentral:tRNA from 1 species